rnacentral:lncRNA from 1 species
GGUCCUCAUGCAAAUGACAGAAACUCGAAUGAAACUAAAAUUUCACAAAAGUGAAAAGUUCAAGUUCGAGCUGAAUGGAAUCAGAUGUGCCCAGAUCAUUUCUUCCAACAAUAUCGCUAGGAGCAGCUUCUCCUCCAGUGCUCAGCUCUGCUAUCUCCUCAGUUGGCUGUUUUUGGUCACUACUGUCGUUUCAUCCCCAAAGACUGAAGACGCCCAACAGGAAGUGACUGGAUAGAGUUACACCACCAACUCUUUAUGGUGCUUGGACCAGGGCUGCUCACCCUUGAAUGCACACAAACAACCUGGGACUGUCAUCGAAAGAUGUUAAUUCGUGAGGUCUAGAGCCUGGCCUGAGAGUCUGCAUUUCUACAACCUCCCAAGGGGAUGCCGGUCCACAUCGAGCAGCGAGAGCUCAGCCAAUUCUGAUGUUUCUUUGCAGUUUGGUUCUAAAUGAUUUUCAUUUUUUAUCAGAACUCUACAAAAAGCAAUAAUCUUUCCUUGUUCAGUUCCUUUCUUCUGGGGUCUGAUUCGUUU